rnacentral:tRNA from 1 species
GCUCGUGUAGCUCAGUGGUUAGAGCUUCGUGCUUAUAGAGGCAUUCGGCAUUACUCCGAAGCUUUCUGUGAACAGGGCCCUUCACAAGGCCGCCUCCUCACAAGGGAGGUGAACACAAAGCAACGCGACCGUCGUGGGUUCGAACCCCACCUCGAGCA